UGUUUUACUUGAUUUGAAUCAUUCUGCCCUGUAGUGAGUCCUUAUUGGAAACAACUGGGAGGUGGGCGGGCCUGUCCUGCGCCUCCUAUCCGGAGGAGCUCCCGGACUUGCCAAAGGAUCCCUGGCCGGAUGAAGCCAUGGUCCAGGAUCCCCCCGAGGCCGACACCAGCCCCCAGUUCAAAGUCAAAUCAAUUCAAGCAUUCUCUCCUCCGCACAACAAGGAAGUAUUUGAAGCUCCAUUCAUCCUUGUUAUGAGAUUUCUUGCAAAUAAAAAACCUUGACAAAA